ACUCAUACGGGAGGCAGCAGUGGGAAUAUUGGACAAUGGGGAACCCUGAUCCAGCCAUGCCGCGUGUGUGAAGAAGGCCCUCGGGUUGUAAAGCACUUUCAGUGAGGAAGAAAGCUUGUCGGUUAAUACCCGGCAAGGACGACAUCACUCACAGAAGAAGCACCGGCUAACUCCGUGCCAGCAGCCGCGGUAAUACGGAGGGUGCGAGCGUUAAUCGGAAUUACUGGGCGUAAAGCGUGCGUAGGCGGCUUGGUAAGCCGGUUGUGAAAGCCCCGGCUGCAACCUGGGAACGGCAUCCGGAACUGUCAGGCUAGAGUGCAGGAGAGGAAGGUAGAAUUCCCGGUGUAGCGGUGAAAUGCGUAGAGAUCGGGAGGAAUACCAGUGGCGAAGGCGGCCUUCUGGACUGACACUGACGCUGAGGUACGAAAGCGUGGGUAGCAAACAGGAUUAGAUACCCUGGUAGGCUCUG
rnacentral:rRNA from 1 species